rnacentral:lncRNA from 1 species
UAGUCAAAGUACAGUACCCUGAAGGUGAAUGACCGAUGCACCUCAGUUCAGAGAAUUAAACACAACCGCAGCUAUGAACAUGUCACUGACGAGAAGGUAGAUAUUCUUGUGACUGUUCGUGAUUGGUCACGCUCAGUAUCCUUAUUCUUAACAAGUACUUGUACUUUCGAUUUGAUGUAUCCACACUAUAGAUUCAAUACUCAUCUAUUCAAAGGAAGUGAUUGUACACCAAUCUUCUGGAUCGAUCAUUAUUCCCAUGAUGAUCC